GUCGGCCGCGAGCUCCUGGUGCGGAGACGCUGCAGCAGGGGACGCGGCCCGGAGCAGGUCCACCACUCUACGCCGCGGACUGCUGCCCCAUGGUCAUCAGCUCCAGGACCACGGCGACAAGUCGCCAACGGAGCUCUCAUUCCGAGCGAUGGGCUUCGUGGCGGAGCAGCAUUUCAAGGUCUUCUCAGCAGAUUCUCCAUUGUGUCGUUGAGCUAUUGGGUUUUUCAACAUCCGCCUUGAAAUUUCCUCCCCACUGACCUCAGAAAUUCAAUCAUGGAGUCCUACACGAGGUGCAGGCCUGCCCUUCUGCUACCCACGGGACUGUAUAAUUAUAAUAAAUCCAGGGUGACCUGCCACUGUUCAAGAAGUAUGUGUAACCACAUGUUGACAUCUGUAAUUUUUUUUUGCAAGCAGUUAGUCCUGUGAUGCUUGGCUCUGCGAUGCUGCACCCCCACAUGCAACCAAAUUAGCUGUAUCCGCUCAACCUGAAUUACAUGUUGACAUUUGGCUAACGGUCACCCUGGAUUUAUUAUAAUUAUACAGUCCCGACAGGUGAUGCUUGUGGUUCGUCGCACAGUCGUUUUGUUUAUGCUAUAAUUAUUGCCAUUAACCAGGGAGACUGGAGGUUACUGAGAUCUUCAACUUUUCCCAAGAUGAUUUGUUAACUGAAGACAUGAUGAUACUUGACACACAUGGUGAAGUUUUCAUUUGGAUUGGAUGGGCAUUUAAGAGUUUUCAACUAGCCUACCAUGGGGUCUGUUCUCACAGAAAUCGAUACUAAAACAUCGAUUAAGGAUCUUACUAUCAGUUCCGACGAGAAGUUUCUUGCUGUGAAUAGGAGCAAUGGCCCAUGUAUCGAUUGGAUUACUGCAGAUGCUUUGGCUGAUGGGAAACAAAGCACUGGAGAGCCUGAGACUUGCUUUGUUUCCUAACACUUAAUCCUUCUUUGGUUUCUUAUUGAAUUGUUGGGAACGGUUAACAGAUGGAUCUGUAAUUUUUUUGGAAAUUGAUUCUACAGUAGCAAGUAUGUGCAUAUAAAUGUGAUCACGCAAGUAAUUUCUAUAAGACUUUGGGAUACAUACUUAUUGCGAAGCCUAAAUUUAUGCUACAAAAGGAUAGGUUGAAUCUCAUAGAGACAACACCCUCUUCUGAGGUUGAUUAUGAUUCAAGAUCCAAUGACCUCAAAACCUCUACGAGUAUCUCAGAGAUGCUGAAAGCCAACUUACUAUUGAGAGUACUAUGAAACCUCCUGCGCAGUGUGAAAUAAAUGACAGAAAUGAAGUGUGUGUUGGUGCUGGUGCUGGAGACAGCAACAUAACUGGUGGUAUUAUCCAAUUGUAUUGGAGUUCUAUUCUUGAAAGGUGCUUGGAUACAAACGAUCAAAGCUUGAAGGAGGCUUGAGUCAAUUGAAUCAUCUGUGGUGUGAGCCGACCAGGGGCGGCUGAGGAGCGGGAAGCAGACGAUCAGGCACUGGCUGCAUCGGCGCCGUCCAGAGUCUCCGCUUCUUCCCUGACAGUAGGUUCCGGAACGCGGCUGAGGCUACUGACUUCGUGCACAUACACUUCGUACCAUGGGAGGUGCACAUACCUGGUGACUGAAUGUAUUACUAUGGCGCAUCACAGUGAUGUCAUCUGCUCCUUAAAUUUUAAGAGGACAUCUGGUCCUUAGAUUGUAAAAUCUCAUGGCGUAUGUUUAGAGGUAUUCAGCUAGGGUGGUUCAAGGAGACCUGCCUUUACAUGUAAAAGUACAAAAGGUCGAUACUUCAUUCUUUACCUGCACAACUUUAGAUACGAUGUCAGCUCUUUUACCAUGUUACUGGUAACCCACAACUGUCAUUAGCUCCCUCCCUCUUCUGAUCUGAAUUAAUUUAGACACUUGCUAGCAGAAUUGGACCAAUUAACAUUAUUGCCACUUGUUUUGUUCGUGGGGCUUUUCGUGUUCCUGUGCACCAAUGUAGUUGUCCUGGGUGACGUGCACGCCAUUGGAGAUGGACCUUACAUCCCAUCUUCCCAUCCAUUUGUUUUAAGAGCUGCUGGUGGUAGAGCUAAUGGUGAUGGAUCCAAGAAGAUAGAGAACAUGUGAUCGACCUAAGGUAGUUUCAGCUCCAGAGAAGAAGGUCCAUUACUCAUGCAAAUGCUAAGAGCAAGAGUGAAAAGUUCCCUACCCUCACAUCAAGGUGGUACGGUUGGUGUCUCCUUGGAUGCUUCAGUACCCUUUUCCUCUGUACCUUUUUGAUGCUCCUGGUGUGGUAUAUAUGGAAUCAAACAUUUCCGAAGGCGAAGAAUGAUGGGUUCAAAGUGACAAAUGUGAAUGCUAGCAACAUCAAAUGUGUGCUCUAUUUAAUGGAAGAAGGAAUGAUGGAGGACAAGCUGAAUAUACUUGCCCCAAUUGCUACGUCGAGGAGAUCAAAUGUGGGCUGCGCAAACCUUUACCACAGUGUGCUCUUCUUGGAGAAAAGUUUUACGAAUACCUGUUCUUAGUGAUCAUAUAGAUGAUCGAUACCAUGUAGCUACUGCAGGAUAAACAAGAUCAUGCUUCAAAUGUCUAUCUAUUUGUUCGCAUGUUAAUUCAAGAUGGAUUUGAGAU